ACGAAUUUGGAAAACGGAAAAUCGCAGCGGUUGAUUGUGAUGUGAGUGUCGUUGAAGAUGAGUGAUUUUGUAUACAGAAUCAGUACAGAGAAGGAGUGGAAAGAGUUGCAGAGCAAUGGAUCCACUUUCGGUGGGGAUCUUGAUAAGUCUUCUGCUUUCAUCCAUCUCAGCAAGCUCGACCAGGUUCGGUCAACGCUGGAGAACUUUUACUUGAACUGCAAGGAGGAACUCUACUUGCUUCAGAUUGAUGCUAAAAAGCUUGGCGAUGGUUUGGUGUAUGAAAUUGUGGCUGGUUCAAAUAGUUUCCCUCAUUUCUAUGGGCCGUCCCGGAGCUUUAUACCUCUCCCUCUUGAUGCAGUAACGAAAGCAGAGAAGCUGUCUCUCUCAGAUGGUCAAUUCACUUGUAGUUUGCUUGAUUAAGUAUUCUGCUGAUCAUAUGCCGUCUUGUUGUUCUCUCAUUCUCCUUUGUAUUGUGUGUGGAGCGUGAAUGUUUGUUGCCUCCUAUCUACCUGACUAUCUCUGUAAUGGACAAAUCAUAAUCCCUUUUAAUGAAGGAGAUGGAUGCCGACAUGUCAGUGUUAGAAUCCUCUGUGGCUUUGCACAUCACCAAUUCAAUCUCUGUGGUCGCCAUUGUAGUCACUCUAUCUAAAUUGAUCACCUGCACAGAUUCCAUUGCUUGCAAAAUGAAUAUUAUACCUGAGAACCACACUUUAACGGUUAGAAAGGCAGGGUGAAACACAUGGGUACAGUGAUAUCUUAGUGCAAUGGCUGGGGUAUCAUGGAUGAAUUCCCUAAGUGGUGUUUAUGUAAUUAACAUCAUCAUGGUUGUUAAGGUUUUCUAGCACAGGACAUCCCUCAAGUGGGGGUUUAUGUGUCAGCACUUUCAACUAGUGGUGCUUGGUCAGGCAUUUUCAAAAAUUCCCUGUUGACUCCUUGUACAAGUGGUGGCCUGCAGACCUUGUGUAGGUGUCGUCUCUAUUCGAGGCAUUCAUGAAAAUGAAAAGGGGAAAUUACCAAGCUGCAUUUUCCAAGCAAUGUCAACGUUCUCCUUGGUUUGAAAGAUUUCCAUCAAUGAGCAUUACAUCGUUUUUUAUCAUCUUCAGGAAGGAUUGGACAAUAGAAAGGUUAACUUUAGAUCAAUUUAAUUAACAAGGGACUAAAUUAGCAAAAAUUGGUUGGUAAGGGACUAAAUGACGGACCAAAAUACUGAGAAUAGGGUUUUAUCAUUAGGAUAAUAAUGAAUUUCAAAAUAUACUUAUAUUUAUCUUUCUGGAUGUUACUUGUGAUAAAGGUUUUUACUCUGUAAUAAUCAGUGCUUAAGGUGGACAUGUAUAAACAAGUGGUUAUUGGAUUAAUAUAAUGUGAUAAUCUGUUCUUAAG